rnacentral:rRNA from 2 species
ACGGAAGGCAGCAGUGGGGAAUAUUGGGCAAUGGGCGCAAGCCUGACCCAGCAACGCCGCGUGAAGGAAGAAGGCUUUCGGGUUGUAAACUUCUUUUGUCAGGGAAGAGUAGAAGACUGUACCUGGCGAAUAAGCCACGGCUAACUACGUGCCAGCAGCCGCGGUAAUACGUAGGUGGCAAGCGUUGUCCGGAUUUACUGGGUGUAAAGGGCGUGUAGGCGGGACAUCAAGUCAGAUGUGAAAGCACGAGGCUCAACUUCGUGUCUGCAUUUGAAACUGACGUUCUUGAGUGUUGGAGAGGCUAACGGAACUCCUAGUGUAGCGGUGAAAUGCGUAGAUAUUAGGAAGAACACCAGUGGCGAAGGCGGUUAGCUGGACAAUAACUGACGCUGAGGCGCGAAAGCGUGGGUAGCAAACAGGAUUAGAUACCCUGGUA